rnacentral:rRNA from 1 species
UAGCGUUGCUCGGAAUCACUGGGCGUAAAGGGUGCGUAGGCGGGUUUCUAAGUCAGAGGUGAAAGCCUGGAGCUCAACUCCAGAACUGCCUUUGAUACUGGAAGUCUUGAGUAUGGCAGAGGUGAGUGGAACUGCGAGUGUAGAGGUGAAAUUCGUAGAUAUUCGCAAGAACACCAGUGGCGAAGGCGGCUCACUGGGCCAUUACUGACGCUGAGGCACGAAAGCGUGGGGAGC